rnacentral:lncRNA from 1 species
UUUAAUCUAAGCCGUCCAUCAUGAUUUAAUCUGGACCGUCCGAUCGCGAUUAAAUUAGAAAUAAAUCUGGACCGUCCAUCGCGACGCGAUCUGGGCCGUCCGUGCGUGAUUUAAUCUGGGCCGUCCACACACGUGAGAUCUGGGCCGUCCAUGCGCGCUUUUGAUCCGAGCCGUCCGUGCACGCGAAAACGGAUAUGGGUCGUCCGAUCGCGCGCACGCAGAUCAUCUACGUGUCUCCGUCCCGUGUGGGUUCC